ensembl:lncRNA
UUUUUUUUUUUUUUUGUUUAUUUGUUUUGUCUUUUCUAAUAAAGUCUUGCUGUGGUCUUGGCCUCCAAGAAUUACUACGAUGCAAAUAAAAACAUACUAAACACCCAUUUUUGAAGUGCACGUGGGAAAAAUAGCUUUCCCAGCUGAUUCUGAAAUAAUUUAUUCUGCCUGCUGUUGAGACCUCGCCUUGAGGAAUAGUCCUUGUAAAAUGAGAGAAAUAAGCCAGGAUCUUCCAUUGUCUUCCAUCAGAUUUCAUAGGAUUUUCAAAACCAACACCACCUUAAGCAAGAAACUGACCUAGAAUUUGCUUGGUAGUGCACAAUAAUCAAAAUGGUUUAAAAGAAGAUUUAUUUCCCUUACCAAAACCCUAACUACACUCAGCUCAGCUGCUGUCUUAUUUCAAACAAGGAAACGGCAGCAGUGUAUAUAUGCCCUCCGCAAAACAAAACUAGUACCAUCAUUAGCUUUAAUGACAACUUGACCACAGAUGCUGGUGCCAGUACUCCAGCAUAUAUCCACAUGAUUAAAUGUCCUGCUUCAGCCUGAUGUUAUGAGCUUUGCACCCAAAAGCCUUACGCUGACAAGCAGGAAGUUAUAUAAAAAUGGAGUCCUGUCUCAGCAAUUAGUUUUAACAAAAUGCUUAUCACACAGACAGAUCAAUCCUCAGCACCUUUUCCCCCCUUCAGCAACUUACUCUUCUAAAGCUUCACAUUUCUCAAUAACCAAGCCCUUGAGCUAGGGACAUUACCAUUUUUCCUCUUCAUCUAUGAGGGACAAUACAAUUCCUGGUGUUACAAAAACAACAGUAAUGUCCUGAUUGCGUUAGUUUGCUACUAUUUGCCUAGAAUAGAAUGAGCCCCUCGAAAAAAUAAUAUUUUUUGAGAAUGGAAGGAAUAGAAUGAGUUUUAACCAUAUUUGAUACUGGCCUGUAUGUCCUAUAACGUAAUUUCGGAAAACUCAGGAUUCAAUUUGGGCUGAGGCCAUGCUCCCACAGUUGAAGUUUCUCUUCUAUAAUUUAGAUUUUCUUAGGGUUUCAGAUUUACAAAUAUGAAGUUUCUUCCACGCAUAAAUAGUAUAGCAAUCACUGCUCCCUCAAUGUCUAUUCUUCUCUUUUUCCUUAUGAAAGGCAAGAAUUAUUUUAAACCAAGGUGUCCUUCAUGCUUCACACCAAUCACUAUUUUCCAGUUUUGGGAAGCAGUAAGUUUUCCACUGUAUAAAUUCCAGUAAUAAAUUCUAGUCCUGUAGUGGUUUACCCAAAUGUCUGAAAAUGCAGUUUAAUACUGAAGUAUAAAAUAUUUAUAAUAAUGCUUCAUUAUUUUAUUACAGAUAUCUCUUAUUUCCUAGAAGCUUCACACAUUUCCAGCAUAGUAAUCAUCCUAAGCAACAUUUCUAAAUGGAAGUGGUUGCUUGUGCAUGGUGUUGAUUGCACAUAAAAUAUCAAGGUUGUCUUUUGCAUUGCUUCAACAUUUUAGAAGAAUCCACCAGUUCUCUUAGAUAGAUUAAUUUAUACAAGUUAUCUUGAAUAUUCCUUUGAAGAAAAUCAUGCAGCCUUGUACACUGUCGCUUCCAGUAAAUGCUUCUUCAAAUUAUCAUUGACUGAUGGCUCAUUUUCCCUAAGUUCCAGCAAAGAACUCAGGACGAGAGAGGUGCACAGGGUGUAAAAAAUAGAUCUAUUUACUCCAGCUGUGCAAAUGAUGAAACUCUACUCAAAUCAAGGGAAUUCCACCACUAGAGUGUAAAACAGUUACCAGUCAAGCAGAAAUCUUGGAAGUCUGAUAGUUGCAGCUUCCCUCCACUCCCACUCUUGUUCCCUCCCCUCUAAAGCAUUCGGCUCCAUUUGUGAAAUAGGAAACAAAGUAAUUCUUAAUAGGUGCAAGGAGGACUAGGUGCAAGGAGAUGCACCUUCAGUUCUGUCACUUUUCAGUUCUAAAGUCUCCAGAGUAUGUAAACAUUAAAAUACAGCAGAACAAAAUAGUAUUUUUCCCAAAAGUAAAUCUCAGCAAGUCUUUUCUCACUCAGGCUGCAUCUUGCCUGGAUAGGUGGAAGACACUACACUACAUCCAUCAGACAGGAAGCAAAAAUAUUCAAAAAAUAAAAUAAUAUUAAAAAAUAUCAUCAGACUGGGGAGGGUAGUAACUCCAGUGUUUAUUCAUGCUAUAAAUCUCUUGGUUAAAGCAUAUUAAACCUGCUUAUUACACUAAGUUCAAUAGUAGUAGUUUCAAUAAUGCCCAGUAAACAACUCUUCUAAUCUAAGUACCAGGUUUGGAAACAAGAGACAUUUUGCUUUAACUUUCAUGCUCUACUCAGACAACUACCAGAGUGAGGGAGUCACUAGGCUCUGGACUACAUUUCGUCUGGUGCACAGUGGCCGUUUUCAGACUCACUGGUGGCCUUAGGUUUCCUAACCUACUAUAAUGCACUUCAGAGUAAGCUCACCAUUGCAACAUCAGUAACAGGCACAGAACUGCCUAUUCAAAGAUUCCAGCGAACAUCUCAUUGUCAUCUCCAUCACAGAUGCAAAACAUAUGCUACAAAGCUAAAACAUCUUACCACUUCUGUCUGCUGAAUUUUACAUCUGCUAAUGACUGAUACAGAAACAGGUGCUGUUGUAAAGCCAUGGGAAAGCACUGAGUUAGCCAUGACUAUGAUAGUAAUGCAAAGUUGUCCACAAGAGAGGAAGACUUCAAAUUAAAACAUGUCUAAUUCAUUUCCUUUGCAGAAUAUUCUCUGGUGACAUUUCUACAGACCUCCAUGUGUUAGCAAUCUAUUUGUGAUGUUUUGCAAUUGGUUCAAAAGCAGUAUUUGCUCUGUGGAGUGACAGCAGCAGCAGUGAUUAAAUGAAACUGGAAUGCAACGUCCUGCUGAGCUUCCCCUGCCAGGGAGCAGCCAAGCCACUGUACUUAGGAACUUUAGGGAGCUUUGGUGGUUUUUUUGUUUUCCUUGCCAAUUUGUGAUUUGUUCUGUUUGACUUACUUUUCCUUUCCUUAAGACUGACACUAUCUAUGACAAGCUAAUUAUGAUAUAUUCAUCUCUGAAUACUUUUAGAGAGAUGUCCCAGAAUGUCAAAUAAUGUUGUAAUAGAGAUGAGAAAACAGCAGGUGCUUGACAUCUAAUUUAGUUAGAGCUGCCAGCUGAAAUAAGAGAAUGAACAUACAACACAUACCAUACAUAUAUUUAUUAAAUCAUUAACUACCUGCAUAGCAGAGAACUUGAAAUAACCUAACCAGUAUAUUUCACUGUUGUUCUCUAUCUCUGACCUACUAUACAUUUACAGAGAAGGAGGAAC